UUUGCUGACGAGUGGCGGACGGGUGAGUAAUGUCUGGGAAACUGCCUGAUGGAGGGGGAUAACUACUGGAAACGGUAGCUAAUACCGCAUAACGUCGCAAGACCAAAGAGGGGGACCUUCGGGCCUCUUGCCAUCGGAUGUGCCCAGAUGGGAUUAGCUGUAGGUGGGGUAACGGCUCACCUAGGCGACGAUCCCUAGCUGGUCUGAGAGGAUGACCAGCCACACUGGAACUGAGACACGGUCCAGACUCCUACGGGAGGCAGCAGUGGGGAAUAUUGCACAAUGGGCGCAAGCCUGAUGCAGCCAUGCCGCGUGUAUGAAGAAGGCCUUCGGGUUGUAAAGUACUUUCAGCGGGGAGGAAGGGAGUAAAGUUAAUACCUUUGCUCAUUGACGUUACCCGCAGAAGAAGCACCGGCUAACUCCGUGCCAGCAGCCGCGGUAAUACGGAGGGUGCAAGCGUUAAUCGGAAUUACUGGGCGUAAAGCGCACGCAGGCGGUUUGUUAAGUCAGAUGUGAAAUCCCCGGGCUCAACCUGGGAACUGCAUCUGAUACUGGCAAGCUUGAGUCUCGUAGAGGGGGGUAGAAUUCCAGGUGUAGCGGUGAAAUGCGUAGAGAUCUGGAGGAAUACCGGUGGCGAAGGCGGCCCCCUGGA
rnacentral:rRNA from 1 species